rnacentral:tRNA from 1 species
UGGGGUGCAGCUUGGUGGCAGAGCUCUUGCCUCACAUGCACAAGGCCCUGGGUUUGAUCCCCAGCACCACAA